rnacentral:rRNA from 1 species
UACGUAGGGUGCAAGCGUUGUCCGGAAUUACUGGGCGUAAAGAGCUCGUAGGUGGUUUGUCGCGUUGUUCGUGAAAUUCCCUGGCUUAACUGGGGACGUGCGGGCGAUACGGGCAGACUGGAGUACUGCAGGGGAGACUGGAAUUCCUGGUGUAGCGGUGGAAUGCGCAGAUAUCAGGAGGAACACCGGUGGCGAAGGCGGGUCUCUGGGCAGUAACUGACGCUGAGGAGCGAAAGCGUGGGGAGCGAACAGG